UUUGAUGCCAGUAUAAAAUAAUGAAAAGAUAAGAAUAGGCUUUAUACCCUUUUUGGAAAUAAAGCAGGAGUUGUGUUAAGAUGUUCAAACACCAAAUAGAUAUUUAUUGUGCAGCAUCAUGUACGGCAUUAACCACACACAGUACUUGUGGUAAACAUGCAAACGAAUGUGCUGUAAUAAUGUAUUGUAAUAUAUCAAAGCCUGUUAUUUUAUUGUUUCCCUUCUACGUGACUUUACCGAAAGAACCAAGAAUAUGAAUCCCUGCAGUCACGAAAGCUUUAAAUCAAAACUUAAUACAUUUGUCACAACACCGCGAUGGCUAAAACCCGAGAGAGGGAAUGGCUUUGCUGUACUUGUACAUAAUCCUCUUAUUUUUACAUUUUGGGACGUGCUUUGCCAAAUACGACAACAAAAACGUUAGAUUUAAUUACGUACACAUGCAAAGUAUAUGUCGUUUAUACUUAACUGCAGAUUUCAUUUUUCUUCUCUCCAAUUACGUCUCCAUUGCAGAUGGUGUUCGUUCUUUGGCCAGAACCUGUGCAACAAAAGCACAGUGCGAUGCGACCGACUUCAAGGACCAGAUGAAACAGUACAUCCUCGGAAAACUGCCAACGUUCGCUGGCACGGUCGAUGGCACCUCCUGCUGCCAGGAAAGUUAUUGCAACCACGUUACUCAAUACUGUUAUUAUGGAAGUGUCGGUUUGGGAGUUGAUGAAAAGGACAAGCUCUGCCCUUCUGGACAAGAUUCAUGUGUUACUGCACUGCUGAUGCAGGGCGACCGAAUGUUCAAGGGCAAAAUUUGCGCCAACCAGGCACAAUGUAACGCACCCGACUUUAAGACGCAGAUCAGACAAUCCAUCGUGGGCAUGAAGCCCUCGUUCACGGGCAUCGUCAAGUACUACAGCUGCUGCCAGUCAAAAAACUGCAAUUACGGUAAGUUGGGAUUUCGAAUUAUGGAUUUCCACUCUCACCCCCCCCCCCCUCCUUUAUUUCGUGGGUUACCUGCUGUCAAACCUUAUCGACAAAUGUUAAACUAGGACUCAUCUCUCUCUUAUUUUGUGGUUACGUACUGUCAAAACCUUACUGACAAAAGGAAAACUAAACUAAUCCUCAUCAAGCGACAGGCAAAAUUGGCCGC